rnacentral:rRNA from 1 species
AUUGAACGCUGGCGGCAGGCCUAACACAUGCAAGUCGAACGAGUGGCGGACGGGUGCGUAAUGUCUGGGAAACGGCCUGAUGGAGGGGGAUAACUACUGGCAACGGUAGCUAAUACCGCAUACCAUCAGAUGUGCCCAGAUGGGAUGAGCUAGUUGGUGGGGUAACGGCUCACCAAGGCGACGAACCCUAGCUGGUCUGAGAGGAUGACCAGCCACACUGGAACUGAGAUACGGUCCAGACUCCGACGGGAGGCAGCAUUGGGGAAUAUUGCACAAUGGGCGCAAGCCUGAUGCAGCCAUGCCGCGUGUAUGAAUAAGGCCUUCGGGUUGUAAAGUACUUUCAGCGGGGAGGCGUUACCCGCAGAAGAAGCACCGGCUAACUCCGUGCCAGCCGCCGCGGUAAUAC